CUCUGUGCCAGCUCCUCCAGGACCUCCACAGACUGUCUGUGAAAUUGCAGCUGUGAUUCGACCAAAGCUCUCCUUGUCGACUAUAGUUUGGAAAGGGUCGAUGAAGUUCUGUUUGACGUCAAUGUCUAGAGAGUCUUUUACUUCUGCCAGUCUCUUCAUGGCCUCUCCCAUCUCCACUAAAGCGCCACCUAUGGAUCCGACGAGGAACAUGCACAAAAAUGUUAUGUUAAAAACAAA